GACGAACGCUGGCGGCGUGCUUAACACAUGCAAGUCGAACGGAAAGGCCCUGCUUUUGUGGGGUGCUCGAGUGGCGAACGGGUGAGUAACACGUGAGUAACCUGCCCUUGACUUUGGGAUAACUUCAGGAAACUGGGGCUAAUACCGGAUAGGAGCUCCUGCUGCAUGGUGGGGGUUGGAAAGUUUCGGCGGUUGGGGAUGGACUCGCGGCUUAUCAGCUUGUUGGUGGGGUAGUGGCUUACCAAGGCUUUGACGGGUAGCCGGCCUGAGAGGGUGACCGGCCACAUUGGGACUGGGAUGCGGCCCGACCCCCUCCGGGGGGCCGCGGUGGGGAAUGUUCCCCAAGGGGGGGAGCCCUUCUGCCACACCCCCUCGGGCGGGAUGACGGCCUUCGGGUUGUAAACCGCUUUCCCCUGUGACGAGGGGUGGGUGACGGUAAUGGGUAAAGAAGCCCCCGCUAACUACGU
rnacentral:rRNA from 1 species